GGACGGAUGGCUCAUCUCAGUGUUAGAGCGCAUGCUUAGCACGCACAAGGAACUGGGUUCGAUUCCCAGUGCCUCUG
rfam:Camelus ferus unplaced genomic scaffold scaffold223, whole genome shotgun sequence.